UGCCUUUGUGUUGCCCAUUCAUUCCCUUCUGAAAUGAAUGUUGUCAAAAAAGGCAGACAAGAAUUCUUGCUCAAAUUGUUUAAGGAGUUGUUUAUUUGCCUUUCUCCCUGUUUUUGCAAGGACAAAA